rfam:Myotis lucifugus cont2.15921, whole genome shotgun sequence.
GGCCUCCCUCUUUGGGGUGAUCGAUCAUGGGACUCCACCAUCGAUCACCCCAAAGAGGUGGGCC